GACGAACGCUGGCGGCGCGCUUAACACAUGCAAGUCGAACGGAAAGGCCUGCUUUCCCUUGUGGAUUGCGGGUACUCGAGUGGCGAACGGGUGAGUAACACGUGAGUGAUCUGCCCCCAACUUGGGUAUAAGCCUGGGAAACUGGGUCUAAUUCCCGAUAGGACUGCAGGGUGGUGCCUGUGGUGGAAAACGAUUUUCUAGUGGUUGGGGAUGAGCUCGCGGCCUAUCGGCUUGUUGGUGGGGUAAUGGCCUACCAAGGCGGCGACGGGUAGCCGGCUGAGAGGGUGGACGGCCACAUUGGGACUGAGAUACGGCCCAGACUCCUACGGGAGGCAGCAGUGGGGAAUAUUGCACAAUGGGCGGAAGCCUGAUGCAGCGACGCCGCGUGGGGGAUGACGGCCUUCGGGUUGUAAACUCCUUUCGACCGCGAGGAAGCCACCUGGUUGGAAGGGUGGUGACGGUAGUGGUAGAAGAAGCACCGGCUAACUACGUG
rnacentral:rRNA from 1 species